UGUUGCGGUUAAAAAGCUCGUAGUUGGAUUUCUGUCGGUGAGUAGCGGUCCGCCCUCAGUGGUUGGUACUUGCUACGCCCCCGGCAUCUUCCUGGGGACUGUGUCUGCUCUUCGCUGAGUGGUGCAUGAUCCAGGACUUUUACUUUGAAGAAAUGAGAGUGUUUCAAGCAGGCAUGCGCCCUGAAUACGUUAGCAUGGAAUAAUAGCAUCGGACCUCGUUCCAAAGCUGUUGGUUUCUUGGACCGAGGUAAAGGUGAAUAGGGAUUGUUGGGGGCAUUUGUAUUUAACUGUCAGAGGUGAGAUUCUUGGAUUUGUUGAAGACGGACUACUGCGAAAGCAUCUGCCAAAGAUGUUCUCAUUGAUCAAGAACGAAAGUUAGGUGAUCGAAGACGAUCAGAUACCGUCCUAGUCUUAACCAUAAACUAUGCCGACUGGAGAUCGGGGGUCGUUAACUUUGUGACGCCCUCUGCAUCUUGAGAGAAAUCAAAGUCUUUGGGUUCCG
rnacentral:rRNA from 1 species